rnacentral:lncRNA from 1 species
GAUAAGUCUGACCCAGCGGUAGUGGUGAUCUAAAGUGCUGUGUUAAGAGGGAUUCUGAGGUUCCAUGCUUGGAAUUAUUACCACUUUGUUCUGGAAUCUGCAACCCCACUCUUCCAGGAAUUUCCUUUCGUCUUUGGGUCUAGCAGGAGCCCCAUAUUUUUAUGUAGUCUGUUCACCUGGCCACAACUGAGUGGCCCAAUUCUUGGUGCCAUCUGAUCCAAAUUGGGCCAGAGUUUUUUUUAUCUGUAAUGGAGUGAGUCAGUUCCUUUCUCUGGUGUGAGAACAGAAGGAAUGUUGGAGACCAUGGUGGCACCUGAAGUAAGAGAGAAGGGAUCUGAUACAUUGAAAAGCAGAGACAGAAAGGGGUUCAGGGAGUCCUGGUGGCUUCCAUUCCCAGGUAUCAGGGAACAUCCUAAAACCUCUACUGGGAGCAAGGAUUCUAAGGUCAUGCAUUUGGACAAGUAUCCAUUCCUUAUAUUUGAUAAAACACCCAGUGGCAUUGGGAAAAAUAAAAGAAAUAUACCAGGAAGGACCAUGGCAGGAAUAUCAACAACUCCGUCUCAAACCUAGGUAAGAAGCGAGUGAAUCGGAUGUCUGAUCAUUGCUAGACCUCAAGAAGAUUCCCAGAAACAGGAGCAGUGGCAGACAAUGUCUUGAUUUUAGAACAGGGUGGGGCUUGAAGAGCUUGCUUUGUCAUCUGGCACUUGGUAACUGACAAUGCCAGCAACUAGGCCCCGGAGGAAGUAAGAGAGAUUGACAACAUUUUUUAGGUAGCCUGUUACUCAAGGCCACCUGUCUGUUGGGCCAUAUCUCUCUGGGUUUCCAGUGUACAUUCUCGGCCACAGUCAGGCUGAUUUCUAGUUCUAUGCUCUCUACUUGUUCCCUUGUUCCUACCUAGUAUUUUGGGUUGGGGUAUAUUUUCCAGCCUUUCUAGAAGGUUCUAACCCAACCAUCUCAGCUGGGCUCAUUAGAACAAGUGUAGGACCACUAGUUACAGCUGGAUAAGCAUUGCACAGCCCCACGGAGACCAUUCACAGUCCAAUGUUCAAGUCGUCCAGUAACACUCAGCAAAUUAUUCUAUAGGAGGAUCAGAAGAUCUAGGCUUUGGGGUUAGAUUGACAGGUUGAAUCUUGGCCCUGCUCCUUAUUAGCUCCAUAAUUUUGGACAAAACAUUAACUUUGUUUUUUAAAGAUUUUACUUAUUUAUUUAUUCAUGAGAGACACACACAGAGAGAGAGGCAGAGACACAGGCAGAGGGAGAAGCAGGCUCCAUGCAGGGAACCCAAGUGGGACUCAAUCCCUGAACUCCAGGAUCACACCCUGAGCCAAAAGCAGAGCUUAACCACUGAUCCAUCCAGGCGUCCCAAAAACAUUAACUCUUACUGCCUGGUGUUCUCAUCUGCAAAAUGGGGAUGUGCCCUAUUUUAUCAAUUCUAAGAGGUAGUUUUUCACAUUUCACAUCUCUAAAAUUGGGCUUAUCUCACAAUUGAUGGUAUGCUAUAUUUUUAAGCAGUAGUAUUUUUUCUUUCUUGGUGGUAACAAAAUAAUGAUGUAUGUUUUGACUGAUGCUAUUGUAGAUUUGUUGAAAUAUGGAAUAUGGAAAUAGUAUCUAUCUCACAGGAGAAUGGAUAAGAUUUAACAUGUGAGGCCCAGUGUCUAGUUUGGAUCAGUGUCUUGCCCACAUUCCCUCAGCCCACCCUGGGGGUCACCUGAAGCUAUGGUGAGCAGUCCCUGUACUUUCUUUUUCAUUUAGAAGUUUUAUGCAUUUUUAUGCAUGCAAGUAACCUUAAUGUGCAAAUUAUCAAUGACAAGAAGCAAAAGUAACAUACAGUGCAGCCAAACAGUUCAUUUAUAACUUAGCUUUCAUUUUGUGUUGUGGUUAUUAUGGCUGUUGUUUUUCCAAAGAUCAGUCCCUGAAAAUAGAUGAUCCUGGAAUAUGAAUAAAGAAAAUACUGAAAGGUGAGGAUUUCA